UACGUAGGUGGCAAGCGUUGUCCGGAUUUACUGGGCGUAAAGAGCGCGCAGGCGGUUGAUUAAGUCGAAUGUGAAAGCCCCCGGCUCAACUGGGGAGGGUCAUUCGAUACUGAUUGACUUGAAGGCAGGAGAGAGAAGUGGAAUUCCCGGUGUAGUGGUGAAAUGCGUAGAUAUCGGGAGGAACACCAGUGGCGAAGGCGGCUUACUGGUCCGGUUCUGACGCUGAGGCGCGAAAGCGUGGGGAGCAAACAGG
rnacentral:rRNA from 1 species